rnacentral:rRNA from 1 species
GACGAACGCUGGCGGCGUGCUUAACACAUGCAAGUCGAACGGUGAACCUCUUCGGAGGGGAUCAGUGGCGAACGGGUGAGUAACACGUGGGCAACCUGCCCCCGGCUCUGGGAUAACUCCAAGAAAUUGGGGCUAAUACCGGAUGUUCACCGCUUCCCGCAUGGGUGGUGGUGGAAAGGGUUUCCGGCUGGGGAUGGGCCCGCGGCCUAUCAGCUUGUUGGUGGGGUAGUGGCCUACCAAGGCGACGACGGGUAGCCGGCCUGAGAGGGUGACCGGCCACACUGGGACUGAGACACGGCCCAGACUCCUACGGGGGGCAGCAGGUGGGAAAAUUGCGCAAUGGGCGGAAGCCUGAAGGAGCGACGCCGCGUGGGGGAUGACGGCCUUCGGGUUGUAAACCUCUUUCAGCAGGGACGAAGCGCAAGUGACGGUACCUGCAGAAGAAGCACCGGCCAACUACGUG